GCCCCUAUAGCUCAGCUGGUAGAGCAACUGAUUUGUAAUCAGUAGGUCGCGGGUUCAAAUCCUGCUGGGGGCACCA
rnacentral:tRNA from 1 species